rnacentral:rRNA from 1 species
GUCUACGGCCAUACCACCCUGAACGCGCCCGAUCUUGUCUGAUCUCGGAAGCUAAGCAGGGUCGGGCCUGGUUAGUACUUGGAUGGGAGACCGCCUGGGAAUACCAGGUGCUGUAGCCU